rnacentral:rRNA from 1 species
CAGUAGCCGCGGGAAUACGUAGGUGACAAGCGUUGUCCGGAAUUAUUGGGCGUAAAGGACUCGCAGGCGGUCUCUUAAGUCUGAUGUGAAAGCCCCCGGCUCAACCGGGGAGGGUCAUUGGAAACUGGGAAACUUGAGUGCAGAAGAGGAGAGUGGAAUUCCACGUGUAGCGGUGAAAUGCGUAGAGAUGUGGAGGAACACCAGUGGCGAAGGCGACUCUCUGGUCUGUAACUGACGCUGAGGAGCGAAAGCGUGGGGAGCGAACAGGAUUAGAUACCCCUGUAGUCCCUGUCUCUUAUAA